rnacentral:rRNA from 1 species
UAAUACGUAGGGUGCGAGCGUUAAUCGGAAUUACUGGGCGUAAAGCGUGCGCAGGCGGUUUUGUAAGACAGAUGUGAAAUCCCCGGGCUUAACCUGGGAACUGCGUUUGUGACUGCAAGGCUAGAGUACGGCAGAGGGGGGUGGAAUUCCUGGUGUAGCAGUGAAAUGCGUAGAUAUCAGGAGGAACACCGAUGGCGAAGGCAGCCCCCUGGGCCUGUACUGACGCUCAUGCACGAAAGCGUGGGGAGCAAACAGG